CUCGUCCGUUAGAACGUUAAGCGAAAAAUUCGUAUUUUUCCUAAUCUUUCUCUUAUUAUUUCAUCAUCGUAUUCCAACAUUUAAUAUGCGGUAAACGUCAUAGAGUGGAAGUAAAUGUGAUCAAAGGCGACAUUGGAAAUCAGAAAUUUAAUAAACAGUAAUAAAAUCUCGUUCACGGAUCGGAUUCCUUCGUGAUAACGCUGAAUAUUUUUUCGAUGCAAUAACUGUUGGAGUUGGCGGUCAUCUCGCGUCACUGACGAAGAUUGCUUACUCUGAAAGCUAGUUCUACCACUUGACGUCCGUCUCGUGUUUAUCCUACGUGCAUACGGUGGAGGCGCCGGUGUCAGUAAACCUCCGGUCGCCUUAAAGAGCGGAUCGCGUCAACGGAUGUCCCGGCGAACGAAAGUUUGUGUCAGUUCCACUCGAUUUUGACAAUGAAAAUUAAUUUUCAUCGUCGUCGUGCUAGUUUGUGAAUGAAUUUUAUUUCACGUGCACAUCGAGCCAUGCAUCGAGAAGGUUGAACGUGUGACUAACAGGAAAUUCAGGUAUUUAUUUUUCCUUCGUAUUAUGUAAUUUUGUUUUUCUUUUUUUAAUUGAACUCGAUUAUAUGCACGAUGAUAACCACAGCCGGUAGAAAAUGUCGGAAGCGUUGAAAUAUGUACAAGGGCAGGUUUGCCUUGAAAUUUGAAUUAAAAGAUUGAGAGUGUGUUGA